rnacentral:rRNA from 1 species
AGAGUUUGAUCCUGGCUCAGGACGAACGCUGGCGGCGCGCCUAACACAUGCAAGUCGAACGAGCGAGAGAGAGCUUGCUUUCUCGAGCGAGUGGCGAACGGGUGAGUAACGCGUGAGGAACCUGCCUCAAAGAGGGGGACAACAGUUGGAAACGACUGCUAAUACCGCAUAAGCCCACGGGUCGGCAUCGACCAGAGGGAAAAGGAGCAAUCCGCUUUGAGAUGGUCUCGCGUCCGAUUAGCUAGUUGGUGAGGUAACGGCCCACCAAGGCAACGAUCGGUAGCCGGACUGAGAGGUUGAACGGCCACAUUGGGACUGAGACACGGCCCAGACUCCUACGGGAGGCAGCAGUGGGGAAUAUUGCACAAUGGGGGAAACCCUGAUGCAGCGACGCCGCGUGGAGGAAGAAGGUCUUCGGAUUGUAAACUCCUGUUGUUGAGGAAGAUAAUGACGGUACUCAACAAGGAAGUGACGGCUAACUACGUGCCAGCAGCCGCGGUAAAACGUAGGUCACAAGCGUUGUCCGGAAUUACUGGGUGUAAAGGGAGCGCAGGCGGGAAGACAAGUUGGAAGUGAAAUCUAUGGGCUCAACCCAUAAACUGCUUUCAAAACUGUUUUUCUUGAGUAGUGCAGAGGUAGGCGGAAUUCCCGGUGUAGCGGUGGAAUGCGUAGAUAUCGGGAGGAACACCAGUGGCGAAGGCGGCCUACUGGGCACCAACUGACGCUGAGGCUCGAAAGUGUGGGUAGCAAACAGGAUUAGAUACCCUGGUAGUCCACACCGUAAACGAUGAUUACUAGGUGUUGGAGGAUUGACCCCUUCAGUGCCGCAGUUAACACAAUAAGUAAUCCACCUGGGGAGUACGACCGCAAGGUUGAAACUCAAAGGAAUUGACGGGGGCCCGCACAAGCAGUGGAGUAUGUGGUUUAAUUCGACGCAACGCGAAGAACCUUACCAAGUCUUGACAUCCUGCGACGCACAUAGAAAUAUGUGUUUCCUUCGGGACGCAGAGACAGGUGGUGCAUGGUUGUCGUCAGCUCGUGUCGUGAGAUGUUGGGUUAAGUCCCGCAACGAGCGCAACCCUUACUGUCAGUUACUACGCAAGAGGACUCUGGCAGGACUGCCGUUGACAAAACGGAGGAAGGUGGGGAUGACGUCAAAUCAUCAUGCCCUUUAUGACUUGGGCUACACACGUACUACAAUGGCGUUAAACAAAGAGAAGCAAGACCGCGAGGUGGAGCAAAACUCAGAAACAACGUCCCAGUUCGGACUGCAGGCUGCAACUCGCCUGCACGAAGUCGGAAUUGCUAGUAAUCGUGGAUCAGCAUGCCACGGUGAAUACGUUCCCGGGCCUUGUACACACCGCCCGUCA